AUCAGUCUUGUUUGGUUGAGGCUGAAUAAUUGCAGAGAACUUGAGAGUCUUCCAAGCAGCAUUUCUCACAUGAAAUCUCUUAAAUACCUUGAUGUUUCUGGAUGCUCAAAGAUUGAGAAGUUUCCAGAAAGUUUGGAGGUUAGGAAGGAGCUAUCUGAUCUUUGUUUGGGUGGCACUGCAAUUAAGGCGCUGCCUGCUUCUAUUUUAAAUCUCACCAGUCUUGUUACUUUGAAGUUGAAUGAUUGCAGAGAACUUGAGAGUCUUCCAAGCAUCAUUUCUCACAUGAAAUCUCUUGGAUACCUUGAUGUUUCUGGAUGCUCAAAGAUUGAGAAGUUUCCAGAAAUUUUGGAGGUUAUGAAGGAGCUAUCUAUUCUUUGUUUGGGUGGCACUGCAAUUAAGGAGCUGCCUGCUUCUAUUUUAAAUCUCACCAGUCUUGAUACUUUGAAACUGAAUGAUUGCAGAGAACUUGAGAGUCUUCCAAGCAUCAUUUCUCACAUGAAAUCUCUUAAAUACCUUGAUGUUUCUGGAUGCUCAAAGCUUGAGAAGUUUCCAGAAAUUUUGGAGGUUAUGAAGAAGCUAUCUGAGCUUUGUUUGGGUGGCACUGCAAUUAAGAAGCUGCCUGCUUCUAUUUUAAAUCUCACCAGUCUUGGUAGGUUGAGGCUGAAUAAUUGCAGAGAACUUGAGAGUCUUCCAAGCAGCAUUUCUCACAUGAAAUCUCUUAAAUACCUUGAUGUUUCUGGAUGCUCAAAGCUUGAAAAGUUUCCAGAAAUUUUGGAGGUUAGGAAGAAGCUAUCUGAGCUUUGUUUGGGUGGCACUGCAAUUAAGGAGCUGCCUGCUUCUAUUUUAAAUCUCAUCAGUCUUGUUAGGUUGAGGCUGAAUAAUUGCAGAGAACUUGAGAGUCUUCCAAGCAGCAUUUCUCACAUGAAAUCUCUUAAAUACCUUGAUGUUUCUGGAUGCUCAAAGAUUGAGAAGUUUCCAGAAAUUUUGGAGGUUAGGAAGGAGCUAUCUGAUCUUUGUUUGGGUGGCACUGCAAUUAAGGAGCUGC
rnacentral:lncRNA from 1 species